rfam:Caenorhabditis brenneri strain PB2801 C_brenneri-6.0.1_Cont127.8, whole genome shotgun sequence.
GGAGAGAUGACCGAGCGGUCUGAGGCGCUGGUUUUAGGCAACAGUGUCUUCGGGGGGCGUGGGUUCGAAUCCUACUAUCUUCA